rnacentral:rRNA from 1 species
CUACGUGCCAGCAGCCGCGGUAAUACGGAAGGUCCAGGCGUUAUCCAGAUUUAUUGGGUUUAAAGGGAGCGUAGGCUGGAGAUUAAGUGUGUUGUGAAAUGUAGACGCUCAACGUCUGAAUUGCAGCGCAUACUGGUUUCCUUGAGUACGCACAACGUUGGCGGAAUUCGUCGUGUAGCGGUGAAAUGCUUAGAUAUGACGAAGAACUCCGAUUGCGAAGGCAGCUGACGGGAGCGCAACUGACGCUUAAGCUCGAAGGUGCGGGUAUCAAACAGGAUUAGAUACCCUGGUAGUCCGCACAGUAAACGAUGGAUGCCCGCUGUUGGUACCUGGUAUCAGCGGCUAAGCGAAAGCAUUAAGCAUCCCACCUGGGGAGUACGCCGGCAACGGUGAAACUCAAAGGAAUUGACGGGGGCCCGCACAAGCGGAGGAACAUGUGGUUUAAUUCGAUGAUACGCGAGGAACCUUACCCGGGCUUGAAUUGCAGAGGAAGGAUUUAGAGAUA